rnacentral:rRNA from 1 species
CCUACGGGAGGCAGCAGUGGGGGAUAUUGCACAAUGGGGGGAACCCUGAUGCAGCAACGCCGCGUGGGUGAAGAAGCGCCUCGGCGCGUAAAGCCCUGUCAGCAGGGAAGAAAAUGACGGUACCUGAAGAAGAAGCCCCGGCUAACUACGUGCCAGCAGCCGCGGUAAUACGUAGGGGGCAAGCGUUAUCCGGAUUUACUGGGUGUAAAGGGGGCGCAGACGGCGAUGCAAGCCAGGAGUGAAAGCCCGGGGCCCAACCCCGGGACUGCUCUUGGAACUGCGUGGCUAGAGUGCAGGAGGGGCAGGCGGAAUUCCUGGUGUAGCGAUGAAAUGCGUAGAUAUCAGGAGGAACACCGGUGGCGAAGGCGGCCUGCUGGACUGCAACUGACGUUGAGGCCCGAAAGCGUGGGGAGCAAACAGGAUUAGAUACCCCAGUAGUC